ensembl:snRNA U4 U4 spliceosomal RNA
AGCUUUGCAAAGUGUCAGUACUGUCACCAGUGAGGUUUCUCCAAGGCAUGAUUAUUGAUUUUGGAAAACUUUUCCCAAUACCCCUGCCAUGAUGACUUGAAAUAUAGUCGGCAUUGGCAAUUUUUGACAGUCUCUGUAGAGA